AUUGAACGCUGGCGGCAGGCCUAACACAUGCAAGUCGAGCGGUAGAGAGGUGCUUGCAUCUCUUGAGAGCGGCGGACGGGUGAGUAAUGCCUAGGAAUCUGCCUAGUGGUGGGGGAUAACGUUCGGAAACGGACGCUAAUACCGCAUACGUCCUACGGGAGAAAGCGGGGGAUCUUCGGACCUCGCGCCAUUAGAUGAGCCUAGGUCGGAUUAGCUAGUUGGUGAGGUAAUGGCUCACCAAGGCGACGAUCCGUAACUGGUCUGAGAGGAUGAUCAGUCACACUGGAACUGAGACACGGCCCAGACUCCUACGGGAGGCAGCAGUGGGGAAUUUUGGACAAUGGGCGCAAGCCUGAUCCAGCAAUGCCGCGUGCAGGAUGAAGGCCUCGGUUGUAACUGACUUUGUACGGUACGAAACGGUAGAGCUCUAAUACAG
rnacentral:rRNA from 1 species